rnacentral:rRNA from 1 species
AUUGAACGCUGGCGGCAUGCUUUACACAUGCAAGUCGAACGGCAGCGCGGGCUUCGGCCUGGCGGCGAGUGGCGAACGGGUGAGUAAUGCAUCGGAACGUGCCCAGUAGUGGGGGAUAGCCCGGCGAAAGCCGGAUUAAUACCGCAUACGACCUGAGGGUGAAAGCGGGGGACCGAAAGGCCUCGCGCUAUUGGAGCGGCCGAUGUCGGAUUAGCUAGUUAGUGGGGUAAAGGCUUACCAAGGCGACGAUCCGUAGCUGGUCUGAGAGGACGACCAGCCACACUGGGACUGAGACACGGCCCAGACUCCUACGGGAGGCAGCAGUGGGGAAUUUUGGACAAUGGGGGCAACCCUGAUCCAGCCAUGCCGCGUGCGGGAAGAAGGCCUUCGGGUUGUAAACCGCUUUUGUUCGGGAAGAAAUCCUCUGGGCUAAUACCCCGGGGGGAUGACGGUACCGGAAGAAUAAGCACCGGCUAACUACGUG